AGAGAGAGGGGGAGGGUUUGCAGAUUCUGUAGAGAGAGAGAGGGAGAGUGGUCGCCUGUUGCUCUUUGGUAUAUGCAGCGUCGGAUUCGGAUCCCUCCGCCCGCCCCCCCGCCGCCGCCGCCGCCCGGGCCGGAUCGCCGCCGCUCCCUCCGAUCGGCCGGAUCUUCAGCCGCUUCGUUCCCGGAGCUGGAGCUCGCCGGCUUCGUCGCGCGAGAUCUGCCGUGAUGUGAGCGUUCGCACCGGCUUCCAUUCGUUAUUCGACUUAAGAGAUUCAGCUCGGCGGUCGUUCGAUGAUUCCGCUCUUUCGAUCCGUUCUUCUUGAUUAAUUGGAUAGAGGCGCGUCCUUUCGGAGACGCGAUCGAGCAGCUCGAGAUCGAGUCGUGCGGUUUGGAUUGUUUACUUUUUGUGUUGGUUUCAUUCGCGAAGUAUCCAUCAGGAAGGCCUGGAUCGGGUGAUUUAGAUGGUAUGCACCAGCUGCAUAAGGAGUGUCAUUGUUCAAGCUGGGCACAUUGGAAUAUCUACCCGUGGAGGGCUUCCGUCAAGCGGUUUCGUGAGAGCUGUACGUUCUGGUUUAGCUUUGGAUCGGCCGUGGAACUGCAAAAUUAGAACGGGCAUCAAGAUGAUGGUUGACACAGGAGCGAUGGAGAAUCAAGAACCAGUUGUUGAUAUGACGGUGGAGAAAGAGGAUGAUGGUGGAAUUGCUAGUGGAGGAUGGAAGAGCGAAGACGGAAAACUGAGCUGUGGAUACUCCAGUUUCCGUGGAAAGAGAGUUACCAUGGAGGACUUUUAUGAUAUUAAAACUUCCAAGAUUGAUGGAGAAACAAUCUGCAUGUUUGGAAUAUUCGAUGGUCAUGGUGGUUCUCGCGCUGCUGAGUAUCUGAAGGAGCAUUUGUUUGACAAUCUUAUGAAGCAUCCACAAUUUAUGACGGACACAAAAUUAGCAAUAAGUGGAACAUAUCAGCAGACUGAUGUGGAGUUUUUGGAAUCUGAACGAGAUACUUUUCGGGACGAUGGUUCCACUGCCUCGACAGCAGUGCUGGUGGGUAGCCAUCUGUUCGUGGCGAAUGUGGGAGACUCUCGGACUGUAAUAUCAAAAGCUGGCAAAGCUAUUCCUCUUUCUGAAGAUCAUAAACCAAAUAGAAGUGAUGAAAGAAAGAGAAUUGAAAAUGCUGGAGGUGUUGUUAUGUGGGCAGGCACCUGGCGGGUAGGAGGUGUUUUAGCUAUGUCUCGUGCUUUUGGGAAUCGGAUGUUGAAGCAAUUUGUUGUUGCAGAACCUGAGAUUCAGGAUCAAGAGAUAGAUGAGGAAUUUGAAUUGCUUGUGCUAGCAAGCGAUGGACUAUGGGAUGUGGUCCCUAAUGAGGAUGCUGUUUCACUCGCCCGUGGAGAAGAAGAGCCAGAAGCAGCAGCCAGGAAAUUGACAGAGGCUGCUUUUACUCGGGGAAGUGCAGACAACAUCACGUGUAUCGUGGUAAAGUUUAAUCACAACCGAAUUGGAUCGACUGUUAUGGAGGAUCAGCGCCAAAACUCUGAUUAGGGAGUCUCAAGUUUGGAUCUAAUCGAACCUUUCCUCCCUGAAACGAGUCUUGCUUGCUGGUGUUUAUGAAUUCGACUUUCUAAGAAGUCCCGAGACAUCAUGGAUGGGUACAAGGUGGUUCGAGUUGCUGGGCGAUCAAUUUGAAUCUGUGUGACCUUAGGGACUAGCAAACCGCCGCCAGUGCAGCCGUAUAUUUAUAUCAACUCAGCCCGCGAUCAGCUCAACCCCGUGUGUCGCCUUCCACCACCGCCUCACUCGAUGGCACAGAGCUUGAUGCCUUUGAUCUCCCUCCCAUGGCUGAAAGCCAUUGAAUUCGCAGCAUUCGAUAUAAUAGGGCUCGUUGAGGGAGACCCAACGGAACUCAUGCUGCAUCAAACUCCCGUUGGAGCAAGGAGCUCGACGCCUUGUUGAGAGCUCCGUCUAGUGACAGUUGGAGUCGUGAGACAGAGAGAAAGGCACCCAUAAGUGGCGGAUACGGAGGCCUGCGACGGAAGUGUUCGUGGUGGUGUUGGCGGCCGUGUUGGCUGAAUUAGGUUCAGAUUUUCCCAAUGAGAGGAGGGAAGAUUGGGGUUUUAACUUUCAAUUCUUGUCCAUUAAAGGCUUAGGUUAAAUUCUUCAAUCAGAAGAAUUCAGUUUAGAUGUAGGUUACUUAUCCAAAGUUUUUGCCGGUUGAACAAGGCAACUACAAAAUUUGUCUAUUUUUCAAUCGAUGAGUUAAUAAUAGUGUACAGGCACUAUUA